rnacentral:rRNA from 1 species
GAUGAACGCUGGCGGCGUGCCUAAUACAUGCAAGUCGAGCGAACAGACGAGGAGCUUGCUCCUCUGACGUUAGCGGCGGACGGGUGAGUAACACGUGGAUAACCUACCUAUAAGACUGGGAUAACUUCGGGAAACCGGAGCUAAUACCGGAUAAUAUAUUGAACCGCAUGGUUCAAUAGUGAAAGACGGUUUUGCUGUCACUUAUAGAUGGAUCCGCGCCGCAUUAGCUAGUUGGUAAGGUAACGGCUUACCAAGGCAACGAUGCGUAGCCGACCUGAGAGGGUGAUCGGCCACACUGGAACUGAGACACGGUCCAGACUCCUACGGGAGGCAGCAGUAGGGAAUCUUCCGCAAAGGGCGAAAGCCUGACGGAGCAACGCCGCGUGAGUGAUGAAGGUCUUCGGAUCGUAAAACUCUGUUAUUAGGGAAGAACAAAUGUGUAAGUAACUUUGCACGUCUUGACGGUACCUAAUCAGAAAGCCACGGCUAACUACGUG